rnacentral:rRNA from 1 species
AUGAACGCUGGCGGCGUGCCUAAUCCAUGCAAGUCGAGCGAACAGACGAGGAGCUUGCUCCUCUGACGUUAGCGGCGGACGGGUGAGUAACACGUGGAUAACCUACCUAUAAGACUGGGAUAACUUCGGGAAACCGGAGCUAAUACCGGAUAAUAUAUUGAACCGCAUGGUUCAAUAGUGAAAGACGGUUUUGCUGUCACUUAUAGAUGGAUCCGCGCCGCAUUAGCUAGUUGGUAAGGUAACGGCUUACCAAGGCAACGAUGCGUAGCCGACCUGAGAGGGUGAUCGGCCACACUGGAACUGAGACACGGUCCAGACUCCCACGGGAGGCAGCAGUAGGGAAUCUUCCGCAAUGGGCGAAAGCCUGACGGAGCAACGCCGCGUGAGUGAUGAAGGUCUUCGGAUCGUAAAACUCUGUUAUUAGGGAAGAACAAAUGUGUAAGUAACUAUGCACGUCUUGACGGUACCUAAUCAGAAAGCCACGGCUAACUACGUG